CAGUAGCCGCGGUAAUACAGAGGGUGCAAGCGUUAAUCGGAAUUACUGGGCGUAAAGCUCGCGUAGGUGGUUUGUUAAGUUGGAUGUGAAAUCCCCGGGCUCAACCUGGGAACUGCAUCCAAAACUGGCAAGCUAGAGUAUGGUAGAGGGUGGUGGAAUUUCCUGUGUAGCGGUGAAAUGCGUAGAUAUAGGAAGGAACACCAGUGGCGAAGGCGACCACCUGGACUGAUACUGACACUGAGGUGCGAAAGCGUGGGGAGCAAACAGGAUUAGAUACCCCAGUAGUCCCUGUCUCUUAUAC
rnacentral:rRNA from 1 species